GAUGAAGAACGUAGCAAAAUGCGAUAAGUAAUGUGAAUUGCAGAAUUCAGUGAAUCAUCGAAUCUUUGAACGCACAUUGCGCCCGCCAGUAUUCUGGCGGGCAUGCCUGUUCGAGCGUCAUUUCAACCCUCAAGCACAGCUUGGUGUUGGGACUCGCGUUAAUUCGCGUUCCCCAAAUUGAUUGGCGGUCACGUCGAGCUUCCAUAGCGUAGUAGUAAAACCCUCGUUACUGGUAAUCGUCGCGGCCACGCCGUUAAACCCCAACUUCUGAAUGUUGACCUCGGAUCAGGAAGGAAUACCCGCUGAACUUAAGCAUAUCAAUAAGCGGAGGA
rnacentral:misc_RNA from 1 species